AAGUUACCUGCCUGGAAAACCCUGAACAGGUGCAGUGAAGGCUUCUUCUUCUUCACCAUCACAUUUCCUCAGCCUCCGAAUGUGCAGCUUAUGGACCAGUUAGAUCAUGAAGAGGGACUUUGGGAGGAGAUUUUUUAAAAACACCCUGCAACUUCACAAGGAGCUGGAGCAACUACCCAGAUUUAUACAGUAUGAAGUUGUUUCUCUAAGUUUAAGAUGCUGUGGGCUGGAAGGAAAUCACUAAGAUGGAAAAGCAGGAUCCGGCUACUUGGACCAUAGCAGUAAGAGGCCCCAAUAACUCUUGGAGCCAGAACUAGAGCUGAAGCUGGAGCCGGAGCCGGAGCCGGAGCCGGAGCCGGAGCCGGAGCCGGAGCCGGAGCCGGAGCCGGAGCCGGAGCCGGAGCCGGAGCCGGAGCCGGAGCCGGAGCCGGAGCCGGAGCCGGAGCCGGAGCCGGAGCCGGAGCCGGAGCCGGAGCCGGAGCCGGAGCCGGAGCCGGAGCCGGAGCCGGAGCCGGAGCCGGAGCCGGAGCCGGAGCCGGAGCCGGAGCCGGAGCCGGAGCCGGAGCCGGAGCCGGAGCCGGAGCCGGAGCCGGAGCCGGAGCCGGAGCCGGAGCCGGAGCCGGAGCCGGAGCCGGAGCCGGAGCCGGAGCCGGAGCCGGAGCCGGAGCCGGAGCCGGAGCCGGAGCCGGAGCCGGAGCCGGAGCCGGAGCCGGAGCUGGAGCCGGAGCUGGAGCCGGAGCCGGAGUUGGAGGCAACUCGCUAUGAGCACCAAGUCAUUCUGGAGGCAAGGUUCGACGAACUUCCAAGAAUGUUGAAGACUGGAAGGGCUGCAUCCCCAAGAGGUUCACAAUGAAAGCAGCUGGAGCUCAGGCAGUAGGAGGAGUGCCCACACCAUGGGAAAGGAAAGUAGCAGCCACAGAAAUGAUGUGGCAGCCACAGGAAGUUGUUAAGGGAACCUUCCCUAAUAUGAGAGCAAAGAGAUAAGGAUGGAACACAUGGCUCUGGAAGGCACUAUGAACUUACAUAAGAGAAAUCCUUGCUCUGGUGCCCCGGGACGACGUACUCCAGCUCCUCCAGAAUGGCCACUCUGAUUCCAUAUGCGACUUUGGGAAUCAUCCUACCCACAACUGAGCAUACUGGCUAAGUUGUCACAAUAGGAGGGAUUGGAGUAAUGGUUGGAAGAAUAUUCCAUGGUGCAGCUCCUGGAACUGAAUUAGCUUCAAAC
rnacentral:lncRNA from 1 species